GAUGAAGAACGUAGUGAAAUGCGAUAAGUAAUGUGAAUUGCAGAAUUCAGUGAAUCAUCGAAUCUUUGAACGCACAUUGCGCCCGCCAGUAUUCUGGCGGGCAUGCCUGUUCGAGCGUCAUUUCAACCAUCAAGCCCCCGGCUUGUGUUGGGGACCUGCGGCUGCCGCAGGCCCUGAAAAGCAGUGGCGGGCUCGCUGUCACACCGAGCGUAGUAGCAUACAUCUCGCUCUGGGCGUGCUGCGGGUUCCGGCCGUUAAACCACCUUCAUAACCCAAGGUUGACCUCGGAUCAGGUAGGAAGACCCGCUGAACUUAAGCAUAUCAAUAAGCGGAGA
rnacentral:misc_RNA from 1 species